UUCCCCAAACAUUUCUCUUUUUAACAUUCAAGUCCUCCGGGAAAGAGGCGACGCAGAUUAUAAACCAACCACCGAGAGCUUCUCCGCCGGAGAGCGAUCCUGAUCUCGAUCACAAACUUCGAUUUCGAAUGGCUUCUUCAAGUCUCGGGAGCUCAAUCCCCGCGCCAGAGGCUGUUCAGCUUCUGGUGUCUUCUCUAGCUGAUGAUUCCUCUGUGGUGAGAGAAGCUUCCAUGGCUUCAUUGAGAGACAUUGCCUCACUGAAUCCGCUUCUGGUGCUAGAUGUUGCUAUGCUGUGUCACGUGGAGGAAGAAGGCGGUUUGGUAACAUGGCUGGGGUUUUCAAGUGAUGGCAUUCAGUGUUGGUGCGUUGGAGAUAGGGGAGAGUGAUGAAGCUUUCAUGGGGAAGCUUGCUAAGAUUGCUACAGCUGAGAUUAUAUCUUCCAAGGAACUAAAUGCUGAUUGGCAAAGGCAAGCGUCAGGGCUCCUUGUCUCAAUUGGAACACAUUUUCCUGAUCUUAUGAUGGAAGAAUUAUUUCUUCAUCUGUCUGGUCCGGCUUCAGCUUCGCCUGCUAUGGUUCAAAUUUUGCUGAUUUUGCCUCUUCUGAUGCUUUGCAGUUCACUCCACGCCUUAAAGAUGUACUUUCAAGGGUGUUGCCUAUUCUUGGGAAUGUUCGAGAUGUACACCGACCAAUAUUUGCAAAUGCAUUUAAGUGCUGGUCUCAGGCAGUGUGGCUAUACAUCACCGAUCUUACCUCAGAUUCUCCUCUUGACAGCGAUGUCAUGUCUUUUCUAAAUUCAGUUUUGAGCUGUUGUUGAGAGUUUGGACAACUUCCCGAGAUCAUAAGGUACGAGUAUCUACUGUAGAGGCUCUGGGUCAGAUGGUCGGUCUUAUCACGCGGACACAACUGAAGUCAGCAUUACCAAGCUUAUUCCAGCAAUACUUGAAUUGUAUAAGAAAGAUCAUGACGAUGCUCUUUUGGCGACAUGUAGUCUUUACAACCUAUUAAAUGCCUCAUUACUUUCUGAAUCUGGUCCUCCGCUGCUUGAGUUCGAGGACCUUACAAUUGUUCUGUCGACACUUCUUCCUGUGAUCAGUAUAAAUAGUGAAAACAAAAGGCACUCAGGUAGUUCAGUGGGACGAAAGGCAUACAAUGAAGUGCAGCGGUGUUUUCUGACUGUUGGCUUGGUUUACCCCGAGGAUUUGUUUACAUUUCUUCUUAAUAAAUGCAAGUUGAAAGAAGACCAUUUGACUUUUGGUGCCCUCUGUGUCUUGAAACAUCUGCUUCCGAGGUUACUUGAAGCUUGGCACUCAAAACGGCCUCUUUUGAUUGAGGCUGCAAGGUCUUUGUUAGAUGAGCAAAGUUUAGCUGUUCGAAAAGCUCUUUCAGAGUUGAUCGUGGUCAUGGCUUCACAUUGCUAUCUGGUCGGUCCAUCUGGGAAUUAUUUGUUGAAUACCUUGUACGCCAUUCUGCAAUAGGAGAGAUUGAUAAUCUGAAGGCAAAAGGGGAGCCAAUUAGUCCAACACAGCUAAGAGCAGUUUGUGGAAAAGGUCUUCUGCUCUUGACCGUUACAAUUCCAGAGAUGGAGGUAUCAGAUUCUAAUGCUAAAGGGGAUUUGAAAUUGCAGUACAUUUUUGGCCUUUCCUACUGAAAAUGAUUGUCCCUAAGGUUUACACUGGCGCUGUUGCAACAGUCUGUAGAUGCAUAUCUGAAUUGUGUCGUCGUAGAUCUUCAACCACCCCCAUGUUGAUUGAGUGUAAAGCUCGUGCUGAUAUUCCAAGCCCCGAGGAGUUAUUUACCCGUUUGGUGGUUCUUUUACACAACCCUCUGGCAAAAGAGCAGUUAGCAACCCAAAUUUUGACGGUCCUUAACUAUUUGUCCCCUCUUUUUCCAAAGAACAUAAGCAUGUUUUGGCAAGAUGAGAUUCCAAAAAUGAAGGCGUAUGUCUUUGACACGGAGGAUCUGAAGCUUGAUCCAUCUUACCAGGAAAACUGGAUGAUGACAUGAUAAUCAAUUUUUUAGCAGAAUCACUGGAUGUCACUCACGAUGCUGACUGGGUUAUAUCUCUUGGAAAUGCUUUUGCAAAACAAUACAAUCUUUAUACUCCGGAUGAGACCAUGCAGCACUUCUACACCGGUGUAUGGGAAUACUUCUCCAGAAAGUUAAUGAUAGAGCAUAUGUUCGUGACAAGAUUGACUGGAUGUACGAACAGGCUGACAUUUCUAUACCUGCAAAUAGACUUGGUUUAGCGAAGGCCAUGGGGCUGGUCGCUGCUUCUCAUUUGGACACUGUACUGGAAAAGCUCAAAGUCAUUUUGGAUAAUGUUGGGAAGAGUAUUUUUCAAAGGAUCUUAUCUCUCUUCUCUGAGAGCUAUAAAACAGAAGACAGUGAUGAUACAUGCUGCUUUGGCUUUGAUGUAUGGAUAUGCUGCGAAAUAUGCUCCUUCAUCGGUUAUUGAGGCCAGAAUAGAUGCACUUGUCGGCACGAAUAUGCUUUCACGGCUUCUUCAUGUGCGGCAGCAAACAGCAAAACAAGCUGUUAUAACUGCUAUUGAUUUGUUAGGUCGUGCUGUCAUAAAUGCUUCCGAGAGUGGUGCUACAUUUCCAUUGAAAAGAAGAGAUAUGAUGCUUGAUUAUGUAUUGACUUUGAUGGGUCGAGAUGAAAAUGAAGGUUUUGCAGAAUCUAGUCUUGAACUUUUACACACUCAGGCACUUGCUCUAAAUGCCUGCACAACCCUGGUCUCUGUUGAACCGAAGCUGACCGUUGAAACCCGAAAUCGAGUCAUGAAGGCUACGUUGGGAUUCUUUGCUUUGCCCAAUGAUCCAUCAGAUGUCAUAGGUCCCCUUAUAGACAAUCUUGUGUCUCUUUUGUGUGCCAUCCUCCUGACAAGUGGAGAGGAUGGCAGAAGUCGAGCUGAGCAGCUUCUGCAUCUGCUUAGACAGCUUGAUCAAUAUGUUUCUUCACCCGUUGACUACCAAAGAAAAAGAGGUUGUAUGGCAGUUCAUGAGAUGCUUCUGAAGUUUCGUAAGCUUUGCGUUGCUGGCUACUGUGCUCUUGGUUGUUCUGGGGAUUGCCCACACAGAAAGUAUGUAGACCGCAGUAUGCAGGGGAAUUUUUCAACUCUUCCAUCGGUAUUUUUAUUUCCUGACCGCGAGGUAUUGUGUUUGGGAGAUAGAGUCAUAACCUAUCUGCCACGCUGUGCUGACACAAAUUCUGAAGUUCGGAAAAUUUCUGCACAGAUUCUUGACCAGUUCUUCAGCAUUUCCCUUUCCCUUCCAAAAGCAGCACUCUCAAGUGGGUUGGAUUCUGAAAAAUCUUAUAAAGCCUUGUCUUCCCUUGAGGAUGUCAUUGCUAUUUUGAAAAGUGAUGCCUCUAUUGAUCCAUCGGAAGUUUUUAACAGAAUCGUCUCAUCCAUUUGUGCUCUUUUAACGGUGGAUGAGCUCGUAGCAGCCUUGCACAGUUGCACUCCGGCCAUCUGUGACAAAAUCAGGCAAUCUGCGGAGGGAGCCAUUCAAGCGGUUACUGAGUUUGUUUCAAGAAGAGGGAGUCAGCUUAAUGACAAUGAUAUUUCAAGGACGACUCAGUCCUUGCUCUCGGCAGCAGUUCAUAUAACUGAGAAGAGUUUACGUGUUGAAGCUAUUGGAGCGAUUUCUGCAUUGGCCGAGAACACACAAUCAUCGAUAGUGUUUAGUGAAGUGUUGGCUACUGCUGGAAAGGACAUCGUGACAAAGGACAUAACUAGGAUGCGUGGUGGCUGGCCAAUGCAAGAUGCAUUUUAUGCUUUCUCUCAACAUACAGAGCUUUCAGUUUCUUUCAUGGAACACUUGAUAUCUGUUCUCAAUCGUAGUUCUUUAGUUAAAGCUGAUUCACAUAAGGAUUCACAUAAGGGAGAUAAUACAAGCUCUUCUUCUGAAACACAUGUAGAAGAUGAGUUACUUCAAGCUGCCAUUUUUGCUCUCACUGCCUUUUUUAGAGGUGGCGGAAAAACUGGAAAGAAAGCUGUUGAGAAAAGCUACUCUUCUGUCGUUGGAGCACUUACUCUUCAACUGGGAAGCUGUCAUGGACUUGCAAGCGCUGGCCAGCAAGAUCCAUUACGGGUACUUCUGACUUCCUUCCAGGCUUUCUGUGAGUGUGUUGGUGAUUUAGAGAUGGGCAAGAUUUUGGCUCGUAGUGGAGAGCAAAGAGAAAAAGAAAAGUGGGUUGAUCUUAUUGGCGAUAUUGCUGGAUGCAUUUCAAUUAAGAGACCAAAGGAGGUUCAACAUAUUUGCAUAAUUUUAACGAAAGCACUAAACCGUCCACAAAGAUUCCAAAGGGAAGCUGCUGCCGCUGCAUUGUCAGAGUUCAUACGCUACAGUGGUGAUUUUAGUUCUGUGAUGGAGGAGAUGGUCGAAGCACUCUGCCGACAUGUGUCAGAUGAUUCUCCGACUGUAAGGCGCCUUUGUCUGAGAGGAUUAGUGCAGAUGCCAUCUGCUUGUAUGAACCACUACACAACUCAAGUUAUUGGUGUAAUAUUAGCGUUACUCGAUGAUUUGGAUGAAUCAGUCCAACUAACUGCUGUGUCAUGCUUAUUGAUGGUCACAGAGUCAGCAUCUAAUGAUGCUGUUGAACCUAUCUUGUUGAAUUUAUCUGUUCGGCUUCGUAACCUUCAGAUUAGCAUGGACCCGAAGAUGAGAGCCAACGCAUUUGCAGCUUUUGGAGCGUUAAGUAAAUAUGCUACUGGAGGGCAACGGGAGGGAUUUGUUGAGCAGAUUCAUUCCACACUUCCCCGCUUGGUAGUACACCUCCAUGACGACGACCCUAGCAUUAGGCAGGCUUGUCGGGUAACCCUCAAGCAGUUUGCUCCACUCAUGGACAUACAAAAUGAUUCUACUCUGUUUGAUUCACGUGCUUUUGGUUCUGACCAUAGAAAUGACUAUGAAAACUUCGUAAGGGAACUCUCUAGGCACUUGGUUCAUGAGUCGGAAAGAGUUGACACUUACAUGGCCUCAACCAUCCAGGCUUUUGAUGCACCUUGGCCAGUAAUUCAAGCAAACGCAAUACACUUCUCCACCACCAUGUUAUCACUUUCAGAGGAUCAGCAUAUGUUCUCUCACUACUAUCCACAGGUGUUUGAAACGCUGGUUAACAAGAUGACCCGGUCACAAGAUUCAGUUGUGAGAGCGGCAUGCUCAUCAGCCUUUGGUUUGCUGCUACGAUCAACCAAGUCAACAUUGUGGAGAGGAGCUCGACUUGAUCGGACUGACUCAGGUAGAAAAUCCAAUGAUCCCGAGUCUGCUAAGAAAUAACGUCUUUGGUGUGUGAGAAUCAACCGGUUACUGCCAAAAUCUGGGGGUUUGCGAUAUAUAUCAAUUGGUACAGUGUGCAACGUGAAACCCGUCCAGGUGUGUGUGUCGUAGUGUGUUCGUUGUAAAGUGUUUUAUUGUUUUCUUCUUGUAAAAAAGUGACUAGUGUGGUCAUCUCCAUUACCGAACUCAUGAAAGAAACAUUCACACGAAGUGUUGUAGGCUUUGGAUCUCGGUUCCACUUUUGUUGAUUGUGAUUUUGAGGCUUCUGGUAGAUAUAGCGGUCGUGAAAGUGUCAUUGUAUUGUUGUUUUAAUUCUAAGUUGGAGUUUAAUUGAUC